rnacentral:ncRNA from 1 species
CACCACCCAUCGCUACUACCGAUUGAAUGGUUUAGUGAGGUCGUUGGAUUGACGUCAUUGUAAAGGCUUGGCCGCUCGAUUGAUGCUGAGAAGAUAGCUUUAUUUGACUAUUUGGAGGAAGUAAAAGUCGUAACAAUGUUUCCGUAGGUGAGCCUGCGAAAG